rnacentral:snRNA from 1 species
GUACUCGCUUUGGCAGCACAUAUACUAAUAUUGGAAUGAUACAGAGAGAUUAGCAUGACCCCUGCACAAGGAUGACACACAAAUUCCUGAAGCAUUCCAUCUUUUA